CCAAAAUAUCUGAUUGAAAGCUAAAUUAUGCAUGCCUGAGGGGCAUCCCUGUCUCCUUGGUUAAAAAAAGAGAGAGAGAGAGAGAGAGAGAGACAGAAAGAGACAGAGACAGACAGACAGGGACCAAAGAGAGUUCUAUUCUUGAAAGUUAGAGCCAGUCUGUCAGAUUGGUACAUCCCUUAACGGACUGUAUCAUCAAAGGUUCACAGCUCAGGUGGCAGAAAUGUGACACUUAAUGGCUUUGGAGUAUGGAGUGCAGAUUCUGAAGGAAAGCGAGCAUCUGAAAAUAAGGGGCAAUCUCAGAAGCAAGGAAAUCAUAUAUAGGGACCUAUACAAAUAUGCAGCCAUGAUAAAGGAGAAGAACUGAAGAAAAAAUACGCACACUGUUCACAAGCAUUUUGAGUUUCAUCUUUUCCAGGCAGAUGUGUUACAUCAUUUAUCCAGCUUACACUUCUUCCUUAGAACAGGGAUAAAUACGGGCACCUGGGUGGCUCAGUCGGUUGAGU
rnacentral:lncRNA from 1 species